rnacentral:rRNA from 1 species
AGGACGGGGCGGCGGCCUAUCAGGUAGUUGGUGGUGUAACGGACCACCAAGCCUACGACGGGUACGGGCUGUGAGAGCAGGAGCCCGGAGAUGGGGACUGAGACAAGGCCCCAGGCCCUACGGGGCGCAGCAGGCGCGAAAACUCCGCAAUGCGCGCAAGCGUGACGGGGGAACCCCAAGUGCCGCUGAUCUUUGAUCGGCGGCUUUUCGGGAGUGCAGGGAGCUUCCGGAAUAAGGGCUGGGUAAGACUGGUGCCAGCCGCCGCGGUAAUACCAGCAGCCCAAGUGGUGGUCGCGUUUAUUGGGCCUAAAGCGCUCGUAGCCGGGCCGGUAAGUUCCCCGUGAAAUCGGGUCGCUCAACGAUUCGGCUUGCGGGGAAUACUGUCGGUCUUGGGGCCGGGAGACGCCGAGGGUACUCCGGGGGUAGCGGUGAAAUGCUGUAAUCCCUGGGGGACUACCAGUGGCGAAGGCGCUCGGCGAGAACGGGCCCGACGGUGAGGGGCGAAAGCUGGGGGAGCGAACGGGAUUAGAUACCCCGGUAGUCCCAGCCGUAAAGGAUGCGGGCAAGGUGCUUGUCGCUCUUCGAGGGCGCCAGGUGCCGUAGAGAAGUCGUUAAGCCCGCCGCCUGGGAAGUACGGUCGCAAGGCUGAAACUUAAAGAAAUUGGCGGGGGAGCACCACAAGGGGUGGGACCUGCGGUUCAAUUGGAUUCAACGCCGGG